rnacentral:rRNA from 1 species
CAGCAGCCGCGGUAAUACGUAGGUCCCGAGCGUUGUCCGGAUUUAUUGGGCGUAAAGCGAGCGCAGGCGGUUAGAUAAGUCUGAAGUUAAAGGCUGUGGCUUAACCAUAGUACGCUUUGGAAACUGUUUAACUUGAGUGCAAGAGCGGAGAGUGGAAUUCCAUGUGUAGCGGUGAAAUGCGUAGAUAUAUGGAGGAACACCGGUGGCGAAAGCGGCUCUCUGGUCUGUAACUGACGCUGAGGCUCGAAAGCGUGGGGAGCAAACAGGAUUAGAUACCCCUGUAGUCCCUGUCUCUUAUACC